UACGAAGGGGGCUAGCGUUGUUCGGAAUUACUGGGCGUAAAGCGCGUGUAGGCGGUUGCCAUAGUCAGGUGUGAAAGCCUUGAGCUUAACUCAAGAAAUGCACUUGAUACUGGGCGACUAGAGGACCGGAGAGGAUAGUGGAAUUCCCAGUGUAGUGGUGAAAUACGUAGAGAUCGGGAGGAACACCUGUGGCGAAGGCGGCCGACUGGGCCGACCCUGACGCUGAGGCGCGAAGGCGUGGGGAGCAAACAGG
rnacentral:rRNA from 1 species